AUUGAACGCUGGCGGCAGGCCUAACACAUGCAAGUCGAACGGGUGGCGGACGGGUGAGUGAUGUCUGGGAAACUGCGUGAUGGAGCGCUCUUACGACUGGAAACGGUAGCUACUACAGCUUACCAGCGUCUGUGUCCUGAUGGGUUUAGCUUGUAGGUAGGGUAAAGGCAUACCUAGGCGACGAUCCCUAGCUGGUCGCAGAGGAUGACCAGCCACACUGGAACUGAGACACGGUCCAGACUCCUACGGGAGGCAGCAGUGGGGAAUAUUGCACAAUGGGCGCAAGCCUGAUGCAGCCAUGCCGCGUGUAUGAAGAAGGCCGUCGGGUUGUAAAGUACUUUCAGCCGGGAGGCGUUACCCACAGAAGAAGCACCGGCUAACUCCGUGCCAGCAGCCGCGGUAAUAC
rnacentral:rRNA from 1 species